rnacentral:tRNA from 1 species
UAGCUCAAGUGGUAGAGCACAUGCUUAGCAUGCACGAGGUCCUGGGUUCAAUCCCCAG